UUGAAGCCUUUCGCUGUGAUGACAAAACUAUGAAUGACGACAUUUGUACUCACAUAUUCAUCAUGCAUGUCCCACCGUUAGUCAUCCUCAUUUUCUAAUCUCAGUUCGCCGACUAAUCUUAGUCUAAUGUUGUUUUACAGACGAAUUCACAACAGCACAGUGUCUGGCAGAAAUCGAAGGAUGACAUCUACAUAGACGACGACGCCCUGGAAGGCUCGGGUCGUGACGAGGUGAGGAAUGACUUGGAGGCGAGUGGCUCGGGUUACGGGCCGGACGAUGAGGACGCCGAGGCUGGAUCAGGUGCUGUCUCUAUAAUCAAUUCGAACAACAAUAAUAAAACACCAAAGACAUCAAACCAUCCAUCCAAGGAACCUGACUUUGGCAAAGAGAGAGAGCCCGAAGUUACAAAGGAGAA